UGUUGGUUCUCCCGCAACGCUACUCUGUUCACCAGGUCAGGUCCGGAAGGAAGCAGCCAGGGCAGACGACGUGGGUGC
rnacentral:SRP_RNA from 1 species